rnacentral:lncRNA from 1 species
UUUCCAUGAGAUGCUGGGAUAUAUGGUGUCUAUGCAGAGAUGACCUAGGUUCCGUGGAACAUACUUGCAUGUCUUGGGUCCUCAAAUCCUUAUUAAGAAUGACAUGGGUAGCCCUCCUUUAUACAAAUGAUAAACUGGACAAGAAAGAAAUUAAGGAAACAACAUUCUUUACAAUAGCCAAGAAUAAUAUAAGAUAUCUUGGUCUAACUCUACCCAAGAAUGGAAGUCCUAUAUGAUGAGACGUUCAAGUCACUGAAGUAAUAGAGGAGAUAUCAGAAGAUGG